GACGAACGCUGGCGGCGUGCCUAAUACAUGCAAGUCGAACGCAGUGGGGACGGGUGAGUAACACGUGGGUAACCUCCCAUAAGAGGGGAUAACACUUGGAAACAGGUGCUAAACCGAUAUUGAUGGAUGGACCCGCGGUGCAUUAGAUAGUUGGUGAGGUAACGGCUCACCAAGGCCACGAUGCAUAGCCGACCUGAGAGGGUGAUCGGCCACACUGGGACUGAGACACGGCCCAGACUCCUACGGUCGGCAGCAGUAGGGAAUCUUCGGCAAUGGAGUAAAGCCUGAUGCAGCCAUGGCGCGUGUAGGAAGAAGGCCUUAGGGUUGUAAAGUACUUUCAGCGGGGAGGCGUUACCCGCAGAAGAAGCACCGGCUAACUCCGUGCCAGCAGCCGCGGUAAUUC
rnacentral:rRNA from 1 species